rnacentral:rRNA from 1 species
CUUAACACAUGCAAGUCGAGCGGGCACUUUCGGGUGUCAGCGGCGGACGGGUGAGUAACGCGUGGGAACGUGCCCUCUGGUUCGGAAUAACUCAGGGAAACUUGAGCUAAUACCGGAUACGCCCUUUUGGGGAAAGGCUUGCUGCCGGAGGAUCGGCCCGCGUCUGAUUAGCUAGUUGGUGAGGUAACGGCUCACCAAGGCGACGAUCAGUAGCUGGUCUGAGAGGAUGAUCAGCCACACUGGGACUGAGACACGGCCCAGACUCCUACGGGAGGCAGCAGUGGGGAAUAUUGGACAAUGGGCGCAAGCCUGAUCCAGCCAUGCCGCGUGAGUGAUGAAGGCCUUAGGGUUGUAAAGCUCUUUUAUCCGGGACGAUAAUGACGGUACCGGAGGAAUAAGCCCCGGCUAACUUCGUGCCAGCAGCCGCGGUAAUACGAAGGGGGCUAGCGUUGCUCGGAAUCACUGGGCGUAAAGGGCGCGUAGGCGGCGUUUUAAGUCGGGGGUGAAAGCCUGUGGCUCAACCACAGAAUGGCCUUCGAUACUGGGACGCUUGAGUAUGGUAGAGGUUGGUGGAACUGCGAGUGUAGAGGUGAAAUUCGUAGAUAUUCGCAAGAACACCGGUGGCGAAGGCGGCCAACUGGACCAUUACUGACGCUGAGGCGCGAAAGCGUGGGGAGCAAACAGGAUU